GAUGAAGAACGUAGCGAAAUGCGAUAAGUAGUGUGAAUUGCAGAAUUCAGUGAAUCAUCGAAUCUUUGAACGCACAUUGCGCCCCUUGGUAUUCCAUGGGGCAUGCCUGUUCGAGCGUCAUUUGUACCUUCAAGUUCUGCUUGGUGUUGGGUGUUUGUCUCGCCUCUGCGUGUAGACUCGCCUCAAAACAAUUGGCAGCCGGCGUAUUGAUUUCGGAGCGCAGUACAUCUCGCGCUUUGCACUCAUAACGACGACGUCCAAAAGUACAUUUUUACACUCUUGACCUCGGAUCAGGUAGGGAUACCCGCUGAACUUAAGCAUAUCAAUAAGCGGAGGA
rnacentral:misc_RNA from 1 species